rnacentral:rRNA from 1 species
GAAUGAACGCUGGCGGCAUGCCUUACACAUGCAAGUCGAACGGCAGCAUGACCUAGCUUGCUAGGUUGAUGGCGAGUGGCGAACGGGUGAGUAAUGCAUCGGAACGUGCCUUUUAGUGGGGGAUAACGUAGCGAAAGUUACGCUAAUACCGCAUAUUCUCUGAGGAGGAAAGCAGGGGGCCUUCGGGCCUUGCGCUAGAAGAGCGGCCGAUGUCGGAUUAGCUAGUUGGUGAGGUAAAGGCUCACCAAGGCAACGAUCCGUAGCGGGUCUGAGAGGAUGAUCCGCCACACUGGGACUGAGACACGGCCCAGACUCCUACGGGAGGCAGCAGUGGGGAAUUUUGGACAAUGGGCGCAAGCCUGAUCCAGCCAUGCCGCGUGAGUGAAGAAGGCCUUCGGGUUGUAAAGCUCUUUCGGCUGGGAAGAAAUCGCACUCUCUAAUACAGGGUGUGGAUGACGGUACCAGCAGAAGAAGCACCGGCUAACUACGUG